UACGUAGGUGGCAAGCGUUGUCCGGAUUUACUGGGCGUAAAGGGCGUGCAGGCGGUUUGUUAAGUCUAGGGUGAAAGCUCCCGGCUCAACUGGGAGAGGUCCUUGGAUACUGGCAGACUUGAGGAUGGGAGAGGGAUGUAGAAUUCCAGGUGUAGCGGUGAAAUGCGUAGAUAUCUGGAGGAAUACCGGUGGCGAAGGCGGCAUCCUGGACCAUUUCUGACGCUGAGGCGCGAAAGCUAGGGGAGCAAACGGG
rnacentral:rRNA from 1 species